UUUGGCGAUGAGUUCCCUUCAGCCUCUGGAGGUUGCUCUGAACUCUGUUAGCUCUUCUCUCACUUUCUUUUUCCUGUCAGGGUAAUAGGAAUGGCAUGUCAUUUUGUUUCACUGAAACUCUGAAUUUAUAACCUGGUUUUUGUGGACCUUGGGCUCAAAUGAGAGAGGCCCAAGUCCAAAAAAAUUUUUUGUUAUAUUUUAUUUAUUUAUUUAUUUAUUUGUUUUCGUUUUUUUUUUAGUAAACAAAA
rnacentral:lncRNA from 1 species